GAUGAACGCUGGCGGCGUGCCUAAUACAUGCAAGUCGAGCGAACAGAUGAGGAGCUUGCUCCUCUGACGUUAGCGGCGGACGGGUGAGUAACACGUGGAUAACCUACCUAUAAGACUGGGAUAACUUCGGGAAACCGGAGCUAAUACCGGAUGAUAUAUUGAACCGCAUGGUUCAAUAGUGAAAGACGGUCUUGCUGUCACUUAUAGAUGGAUCCGCGCUGCAUUAGCUAGUUGGUAAGGUAACGGCUUACCAAGGCAACGAUGCGUAGCCGACCUGAGAGGGUGAUCGGCCACACUGGAACUGAGACACGGUCCAGACUCCUACGGGAGGCAGCAGUAGGGAAUCUUCCGCAAUGGGCGAAAGCCUGACGGAGCAACACCGCGUGAGUGAUGAAGGUCUUCGGAUCGUAAAACUCUGUUAUUAGGGAAGAACAUAUGUGUAAGUAACUGUGCACAUCUUGACGGUACCUAAUCAGAAAGCCACGGCUAACUACGUG
rnacentral:rRNA from 1 species